GGACCCGCACAAGUAGUGGAGCAUGUGGUUUAAUUCGAAGAUACGCGCAGAACCUUACCAACACUUGACAUGUUCGUCGCGACUCUAAGAGAUUAGAGUUUUCGGUUCGGCCGGACGAAACACAGGUGCUGCAUGGCUGUCGUCAGCUCGUGUCGUGAGAUGUUGGGUUAAGUCCCGCAACGAGCGCAACCCUCACUUUUAGUUGCCAUCAUUAAGUUGGGCACUCUGAAAGAACUGCCAGUGAUAAGCUGGAGGAAGGUGGGGAUGACGUCAAGUCCUCAUGGCCCUUACGUGUUGGGCUACACACGUGCUACAAUGGUGAGGACAAUGAGCAGCUACCCCUGCGAAGGCAAG
rnacentral:rRNA from 1 species